AGGAGUCCAUUGAGGACAAACAUUGUGACACGAGAUUUAUAUAUAUUAAGAUUACAUUUUAUAUUAUUCGUUUUAAAUACACGGGAGGAUCAUUUUUAAGGUCAUUUGAGAGAUAUAUGUGAAAUAAGCCCUCCCCACUUAAUUUUAACGGUUCCUAAAUCCACAGUAUGUAGCUCGUUGAUAAGAUUUUAUUGAGGCGUAAUUUUCCAAACGACGCCUCGAACGCGACAAUUAAUAAAACUAUUAAAUUUAUUGAAAUUAAAACAUUAUUUCUUUACUGUCCCCGGCAGAUUUUAAAUUGAAUAUCAUAAUAAGAUAAUAAACUAGUCGAACAAAAGAUACUUAUUUAUUAUGAUAUACAAUGGAACUCUUAAGCUAGUACAUACUUCAUAUCUGACAAACUGGUAUUAUAUUAAUAUUUAACAUAUUGUUGUGAUCGACAUUAAAAUUCUUUCUGCCGAUGUAAAUCCCACAUUUUUCCCAUUUUCUUUUCGUUCAUUAACCGAAUGUGAUGUUAAGAAGAAUAUUUUAGCUAUAAAGUCUGAUGCUGUCGGUUCUGAUAUCAUUACCUAGCCGAAAAAUGAUUAUCCUUGUUAUUAUGUUACUCCUGUCUUAGCAUCUAUUUUCAAUGACUCAGUUACGACUAUGACUUUUCCUUCUCCCUGAAGGAAAAACUACCUUUGUUUGAACGUUCUGUUAAUAAUAAUAAUACUCUAAUAAUGUUUCACUAUUUUAAUCUUUAAUGUUUGUACUUUGAUGUUAAACUAAUUUUACGACCUUCGCGUCUGGUUUGAUUUAGCAAUUAUUUCAUAUCAAUUUCGAUAUUAACAUUGCAGUGAUUUAUAUCGUCUAUAUCGAUCAUAUGCCUAUCAGGACUAAUAGCUGAACUGAUUAUUUAUUUAUAUCAGUGCAAAAUCCUAAGAGACAUAUUAAUAAACAAAAAGUAGAGAGAAAUAUGAAAUCAAUAUUGCUUUGACUUAAUAAUAUUAUUAAAUUUAAAAAGAAAUCGAAAAAAUAAAAAAUAAAUUAUGAAUAUAUUGAUUUUUUAUCUUAAUUUCCAACGGGUACGAAGUCACGGGCAAACAUUAAUUUAAUUUAUUAAUUCAUAAGUGUAUAUGUGUAUUUAUGUAAAUGAACAAAUGUAUAUGGAUUUCUUUCGACGCUUCAAUGAAAGCCAAUAAAUCCAAUUUUGUUUGAUUCGUACGCGUUUCUCCGUAGAAUUUAAUUUCCGAUAUUGGAAUAUUUAUUCAUUCAAGCGUAGGUAUAAGUCGUCUAUUUUUAAAUGAUUAACUUAAGUAUGAGAAAUAUGGCUUUCUAAGCUUGAAUAGAAACUAGAUACAAACUAGUGCUUUCCACGAUUUUUCAUUUUUGUUAAGGUCGUUUUUGUUAAAAUAUAUUAGAAUUUUCCGCCAUAAAAGUAUGUUAUAUGUUCUUUAAGUUAGAGCAUCAUUUUUUGGGUGCUAUCUAUAGUUUCAAUAUUUCAAAUAAUCCUCCAAGAAAAAAAAAAUAAAAUGCGUUAUUUUAAAUAACAAAACUUUUAUUUAUUUGACAUUUUAAAGUGAGAUAUAUUUUACAAGUUAAUUUUACACGGUGAGUAUACAAGUUGUUACAUAAUAUUUUAGAUAUAUGAUUUUAACUGAACACAUUUUUAUUCAGACGCAGGAACCGCAGGCGGGGCACAUUCUGCUGAAGGCGUUGCAGAACACUCUCCAAGAUUGCAGUAUGGCAUAGUCGGGUCGGUACAAAUUUUUUGCAUCCCGCCUAUCUUCAUGCAAACAAGCUUAGUAGAGCAAUCGAGGCAAGACUUGCCGACAGUAGUACAAGGUGUCCACUGCGGGUACCACGGAGCUGAAGAAAUCCAUGGUGGUAUCCAAGGGUUUAUUGCCCCUGUUGGUGGCCACCCAGUCCACCCAGUUUGGGGAAGUGCACAUGCUAUUGUCAACUGCAAUAAGAAAAUAUAAUUUAAAGAAUUAAAAAAAUUUAUACGAAAAAA